GACGAACGCUGGCGGCGCGCUUAACACAUGCAAGUCGAGCGAAGCGGCGGACGGGUGAGUAACACGUGAGUAACCUGCCUUAGACAUUGGGAUAGCCUCGGGAAACCGGGAUUAAUACCAAAUGGUCUAAGAUGGACUAGCGUCCCAUUAGAGAGUUGGUGAGGUAACGGCCCACCAAGGCGACGAUUGGUAGCCGGCCUUGGAGGAUGAACGGGCACAUUGGCACUGAGAAACGGUCCAAACUCUACGGAAGGCAGCAGUGGGGAAUAUUGCACAGUGGAGGGAACUCUGAUGCAGCGACGCCGCGUGAACGAAGAAGGCUUUCGAGGCGGAAAGUUCGUUUAUAUGGGAAGCGGUACCAUAAGAAAAAGCCCCGGCUAACUACGUGCCGGCAGCCGCGGUAAUAC
rnacentral:rRNA from 1 species